AUAACAGAGCUAAGGCUUUUGUAGAACAGUCAAACCUUGAAGAACACGGGUUUGAACUGCGAGAGUCCACUUAUAUGAGGGUUUUUGAAAAUAAAAGUUACCCCGAGUGUGCCUGCCUCUCCUGCCUUCCCUUCCACGUCCUCCACCUCUUCUGCCUCUGCCACCCCUGAGACAGCAAGACCAACCCCCGGCUUCUCCUCCUCAGUCUACUCAACCUGACGAUCACAAGGAUGAAGACCUUUAUGACUCACCUUUAUGAUUCACUUCCAACAUAGUAAAUAUGUUUUCUCUUCCUUAUGAUUUUCUUUAUGACAUUUUCUUUUCACUAGCUUACUUUACUGUAAAAAUAUGGUAUAUAAUACAAAUAACGUACAAAAUCUGUGUUAAUUUACUGAUUAUGUAAUUGAUAAGGCUUCUGGUCUACAGGUGGCUAUUAGUAGUUAAGUUUUGGGGAGUCGAAAGUUAUACCUGGAUUUUUGACUGUGUGUGGGGUUGGUGCCCCUAACCCCGGCAUUGUGCAAGGGUCAACUCUUAUUUAUUAAGUACCAAUAACUGUCCUAAACACCUUGCAUAUAUUAACUCAUUUAAUUCUCAAAAUAGUCUCAUGUGGUUGCUAUCAUUGUCUCCAUUUUACAGAUAAAGAUGGUCUCACAGAAAAGUCACGCAGCUGGGAAUUGGUAAUACAUGUUACAUAUGAUUUAGAUCUAAUUUUAAAAAUAGUUAAAAUUAAUUUUAGAUUUGUGGUAUUUAAUUUCAAGGCAGAUGAGAACUUGUGAUAGGUUUAUGCUACUUAUUUCCCAAUAUGUAUUCUCCCUUUUGCUGUCAUAACAGAAUCCUGAGGUUUUAGCCCAAUGCGUGCCUGCACAGAAAAAAAACACAUUUUCCUGCCUCUUUUUCAUCUCCAGGUGACUAAAUUCUGGACAAUGUGAGUUAGGUGGAAGUGUAUGGGCAACUUAAAAUGAGAGGCAUGCCCUGUGUUCCCCUUCUCCUGCUCACUGGUGGGGAUGUGAGGAUGUGAGUGUGAUGGCUUGAGCAGCUAUUUUGGGCAAUGAGGAAGCCCACACCCUAAAUGAUACCCCAUUGGGAUAGGAGAGCUGACAGCUGAAAGAAUCACGGUCCCUGUCCAAAUCAUGAAUAUUUAUUUAUUUAUUUUAACUUUUAUUUUUGGUUCCGGGGUACAUGUGCAGAUUUGUUAUAUAGGUAAAUUGUGUGUCACAGAGGUUGUGUGUACAGGUUAUUUUGUCACCCAGGUAAUAAGCAUAGUACCUGAUAGGUAGUUUUUGAUCCCCACCUUCUUCCCAUCCUGCACCCUGAAGUAGUUCUCAGUCUGUUGUUCCCCUGUUUGUACCCAUAUGUACUUGAUGUUUAGCUCCCACUUGUAAGUGAGAACAUGUGGCAUUUGGUUUUCUGUUUCUGUGUUAGUUUGCAUAGGAUAAUGGCCUCCAGCUCCAACUCUUUCAGCUCCAUCCAAGUUGCUGCAAAUGAAUGAUCUCGUUCUUUGUUAUGGCUAUGUAGUAGUCUGUGGUACAUAUACACCACAUUUUCUUUAUCCAGUCUACCAUUCAAAUCAGGAUUUUUUUUUUUUUUUUUUUUUUGAGAUGGAGUCUUGCUCUGUUGCCCAGGCUGGAGUGCAGUGGCGCGAUCUUGGCUCACUUCAAGCUCCACUUCCCGGGUUCAUGCCAUUCUCCUGCCUCAGCCUCCCGAGUAGCUGGGACUACAGGCACCUGCCACCCCACCCAGCUAAUUUUUUGUAUUUUUAGUAGAGACGGGGUUUCACCGUGUUAGCCAGGAUGGUCUCGAUCUUCUGACAUCGUGAUCUGCCCGCCUCGGCCUUCCAAAGUGCUGGGAUUACAGGCGUGAGCCACCGCGCCUGGUCUUUUUUUUUUUUUUUUUCGAGAUAGAGUUCUCGCUCUGUCACCCAGGCUGGAGUGCAAUGGCACAAUCUCAGCUCACUGCAACCUCCGCCUCCCGGGUUCAAGCGAUUCUCCUGCCUCAGCCUCCAGAGUAACUGGUACUACAGGCGCCUGCCACCAUGCCCGGCUAAUUUUUGUAUUUUUAGUAGAGAUGGGGGUUUCACCAUGCUGGCCAGGCUGGUCUCGAACUCCUGACCUCAGGUGAUCCGCCCACGUUGGCCUCCCAAAGUGCUGGGAUUAGAGGCGUGAGCCACUGUGCCAGGCCGGGAAUUUUUAUAUAGAAGAAUAAAACUCUAUCUUUAAGCCAUGUUAAUUAGGGGUUUCUAUC
rnacentral:lncRNA from 1 species